CAGCAGCCGCGGUAAUACGAAGGGUGCAAGCGUUAAUCGGAAUUACUGGGCGUAAAGCGCGCGUAGGUGGUUUGUUAAGUUGGAUGUGAAAUCCCCGGGCUCAACCUGGGAACUGCAUCCAAAACUGGCAGGCUAGAGUAGGGCAGAGGGUGGUGGAAUUUCCUGUGUAGCGGUGAAAUGCGUAGAUAUAGGAAGGAACACCAGUGGCGAAGGCGACCACCUGGGCUCAUACUGACACUGAGGUGCGAAAGCGUGGGGAGCAAACAGGAUUAGAUACCCCCGUAGUCCCUGUCUCUUAUAC
rnacentral:rRNA from 1 species